GUGGGGAAUCUUCCGCAAUGGACGAAAGUCUGACGGAGCAACGCCGCGUGAGUGAUGAAGGUCUUCGGAUUGUAAAGCUCUGUUAAUCGGGACGAAAGAGCCUAGUGUGAAUAAUGCUAGGAAGUGACGGUACCGGAAUAGAAAGCCACGGCUAACUACGUGCCAGCAGCCGCGGUAAUACGUAGGUGGCAAGCGUUGUCCGGAAUUAUUGGGCGUAAAGCGCGCGCAGGCGGAUCUGCCAGUCUGUCUUAAAAGUUCGGGGCUUAACCCCGUGAUGGGAUGGAAACUACAGGUCUAGAGUAUCGGAGAGGAAAGUGGAAUUCCUAGUGUAGCGGUGAAAUGCGUAGAUAUUAGGAAGAACACCAGUGGCGAAGGCGACUUUCUGGACGAAAACUGACGCUGAGGCGCGAAAGCCAAGGGAGCGAACGGGAUUAGAAACCCGUGUAGUCC
rnacentral:rRNA from 1 species